CCCCUCUCAGGGUCGCACCUGGAGACUUUCCAGUUCUCUACCGGUCUCGGCUACGGGAGGGAGAGUCAGGCGGAGGCCUACCCAUUCCAUUGCUAGCUUGGACAGUGGCUAGCGAGUGGAAGGCCAUCUGCUUCAAGG
rnacentral:snoRNA from 1 species